UACGUAGGUGGCAAGCGUUGUCCGGAAUUAUUGGGCGUAAAGCGCGCGCAGGCGGUCCUUUAAGUCUGAUGUGAAAUCCCACGGCUCAACCGUGGAGGGUCAUUGGAAACUGGGGGACUUGAGUGCAGAAGAGGAAAGCGGAAUUCCACGUGUAGCGGUGAAAUGCGUAGAGAUGUGGAGGAACACCAGUGGCGAAGGCGGCUUUCUGGUCUGUAACUGACGCUGAGGCGCGAAAGCGUGGGGAGCGAACAGG
rnacentral:rRNA from 1 species